GACGAACGCUGGCGGCGUGCUUAACACAUGCAAGUCGAACGGAAAGGCCCCUUUGGGGGUACUCGAGUGGCGAACGGGUGAGUAACACGUGAGUAACCUGCCCUUGACUUCGGGAUAACUUCAGGAAACUGGGGCUAAUACCGGAUAGGAAUUCUUGCUGCAUGGUGGGGGUUGGAAAGCUUCGGCGGUUUUGGAUGGACUCGCGGCUUAUCAGCUUGUUGGUGGGGUAGUGGCUUACCAAGGCUUUGACGGGUAGCCGGCCUGAGAGGGCGACCGGCCACAUUGGGACUGAGAUACGGCCCAGACUCCUACGGGAGGCAGCAGUGGGGAAUAUUGCACAAUGGGCGGAAGCCUGAUGCAGCAACGCUGCGUGCGGGAUGACGGCCUUCGGGUUGUAAACCGCUUUCAGCAGGGGCGAAGCUUGUGGUGACGGUACCUGCAGAAGAAGCACCGGCUAACUACGUG
rnacentral:rRNA from 1 species